rnacentral:lncRNA from 1 species
AAGGGUCCUUGAACAUAAGCUCUGUGGAACCAUGCAUCUACAGGAUAACUGAGGAUGGAAUUCACAAAUAGCUCCUACAGUCAAGGCAAAACACCCUGGUUGGAUGCUUGGUUGGAUCAUUGUCUCAGACGCCACUUUGGGCUCAUCUAUGCCUGACAUGUUUUAAGAACGCUCUGUACUUCGGCCUGAGGUUGCUGGACCUCCUUGGGGACUUCUACUGACUCUGUGAAACACAUCCAUCGAGGCUGUAGAAGUCGAGAUUGAACAGCAUGCCCCUGCCUUCUCUUCUCUCAAACAUGGGUCCUUCAGAGCUCUAACGGGAGAGUCCUCCUCUCAAAUGUACCCGAUGUUCUCAGCAUGAAGACCCCAAGUUUACAGUUUGAGGGGAGAGGGGCAAGAUCAGCAUGGAAUGUUUGUCUCAAUGUAAACUCGAGACGUUUGACAUGCUAAGUCUAUAGACCCAUGAUAAAACAGGGACGGUUACUCUCCGUCCACAAAUAUCUGGGGCCUCUGCCAAGGAAAAGAAGCAGCCAUGUCCCGACCCUUAUUCAGCCUACACCCCUCACCAUGCUGUAACAGCCAAAGCCACCCAACCAGUGGGGCAAAAGCAGAAUGGCAACUUAGCUCGACCACCAACCUUCCCAGAAACCUUUGCAUACCGCCAGUGCUGUCCAGAU